rnacentral:rRNA from 1 species
UAAUACGGAGGGUGCAAGCGUUAUCCGGAUUCACUGGGUUUAAAGGGUGCGUAGGCGGGCAGGUAAGUCCGUGGUGAAAUCUCUGAGCUUAACUCAGAAACUGCCAUGGAUACUAUUUGUCUUGAAUAUUGUGGAGGUAAGCGGAAUAUGUCAUGUAGCGGUGAAAUGCUUAGAUAUGACAUAGAACACCAAUUGCGAAGGCAGCUUACUACACAGUUAUUGACGCUGAGGCACGAAAGCGUGGGGAUCAAACAGGAUUAGAUACCCUGGUAGUCCACGCCCUAAACGAUGAUUACUCGACAUCAGCGAUACACUGUUGGUGUCUGAGCGAAAGCAUUAAGUAAUCCACCUGGGAAGUACGAUCGCAAGAUUG